GUUACGCACAACUUUUGAUUAGAAGGAGUUGAUCUGUAAUCUGUGCAAGUUUGAAGUCGAUAGGAUAAACGCUGUAUGAGAAGAUGAUUUUUUUAGGAAAGGCAGUUUUAAGGCAAAAUCUUACUUUGAAAGGGCAAAUAUGUCACUUCCUGUUGGAUUUAGGUCAGGGGUGUCAGCGCGUGAUUUUUAGGUCUUGAUGAGACGAACACGCCACUUUUGGUUUCAUGUUUCUACGACGUUCCUACAGGCCGUGGCGGCCAUUUUUGUGUGCCUAGGUGGCGCUAGAGAGCCCAUUUUGGCACUUUAGGGGUUAAUGUCACCAUUUUAUAAAAUUUUUCACCGGUUCUGAUGUGCGUGCCAAUUUUGGUGAGUUUUUGAGCAUGUUUAGGGGGUCAAAUUCCAGUUCAAAGAGGCGGCGGAAGAAAGAAUAAAGAAUAAA